rnacentral:misc_RNA from 1 species
CCCGGGAGAUGCCACAACGGCAUGGCAUCACAAUCACAUCCUAUCGUCAUCAGACUCCUCGCCAUGGCUGGUCGUGGUCGGGUCACGGUCACUCCCCGUAGAAGGCCUUCUCGAAGGUGUUCAGGUACUCUGGCUCGAGCGCGAAGAGCACGUUGAUGGGGUCGUCCUUGUCGCGUCCCUGCGUGACGUACGCCGUGCCGCUGCCGAACAUCUGCGCGGGGGCCACGAACCCGGGGCGGCCCCAGCCGAAGUCGGCGUCGUGGAUGGGCAUGCCGAGCCAGCUGACGACCCACAGGUCGGACUCGGGCAUGAACUGGCCGCGCGCCGCCUGGUUGCCCUUGUCCGACUCAAGCUCCAGGUAGUCGACGACGGAGCGCACGCGGGCGUCGUCGACGCGGGCCACCGCGCGCUUGAUCCGCUCCGCCACGAAGCCCAGCGGCUGCGACAGCACGUCGCCCACCCGCACGGUGACCAGGUCCCGCACGAUGGCGUUGCCGAAGUAGGACGCCGGGAGCGGCGGGCGCAGGCGCUGCCGGACGUUGGCCGGGACGCGCAGCCGCGUGUCGCUGGCCGCCGGGAGGCCCCGGGCGACGCACAUGGCGCGCCACAGGUGCGCCGUGACCGCGCAGUACGUGGACGCGCCCGGCGCGCAGCGCGACCGGAUGCCUGCCAGCAGCUUGGGCGGCACGGCGUAGACGCGCGUCACGAAGGGCCGCGGCGCCCCGUUGAGGUAGGCCGGGGAGUAGACCGGGUGCUCGCAGGCGGGGACGUGCGGCGGGGAGCGCGCGCGCAGGAGCGUCCGGUCGUGCGACGGCGUCCACGCGGGGGCCUCCCCGCGCGCCAGCGCCGUCCACGCCCGGAUGAACUGGAUCGCGCCGGCGCCGUCCAUCGUCACGUGGUGCAUGCCCGUGCCCACGGCCACGCCGCCGCACUUGAGGAAGGUCACCUGCAAAGAUCAGUUUUUUUCCCCCUGGUGACAUGACGUUCUGACUUUACACUGGCAACAGGCUGUAAUAUAAUGCUAUUAAAAAAAUUCGGCAAUCUCAGAGGGUCCCAAUUUGUUCGGAGCGCCAAAGGUGAUUCGGCUUGCAAGUUGCAGCCACCAAAGCUCCGAACUUAUCUACUGCAAAAAAGCUUCUCAUGGCAACAAACACUGAUCGUUAAAAGCCAGAGGCGAACAGGACAAAGACAAGGUACACUGCACUCUCGAAAUUGUCAACAAAGGCGUGCUGAUCACAUCCUCUUGUCCAUGACGGUUGGCCGUUAAAGUCCACCGCUCGAGGAUCCAAAUCGAAGCUUGAGCCCGCACCAAGACAGCAACCGCUAGGCCAAUUUGCAAACAUCUCGAGGAGGGGAAACGUCUGCCAGGACCAUGCGGCCAUAAAGCAGCUAGCAGCACCCCCUCGUUAAAGCAGGCAACCCAUCCACCACGGCGCCGCGCUGACGGGCAGCGGCGAUUCUGAUCAGUUCGACACGUUAAGCAUCGCCGUCGCCAUCAAUCGCGAAUUCGCGAUAGUUGUGGCGUGGGAUGGAUGUUUUUUUUGGGGUGUGUGUCUUUGGCUGAGAUCGAUGAUGAUGCCACUAUCGAUCGUGACGGUUCUGGUGUGGGAAGUCCGUUUGACUGUCUGAGCGCCAGCGAGCACGUCGGCAAAGCACAUCCUGAAUUCCUCCUGAUCCGGAGGAAGAAGGGCAGAGCUG